AUCGCUUCUCUGCCUUUUGGCUAAGAUCAAGUGUAGUAUCUGUUCUUAUCAGUUUAAUAUCUAAAAAAAAUCGUACAAGAUGCUACAUGAGGUAGAAAAAAGAAGCCCAA
rnacentral:snRNA from 1 species